GCAAAGGUAGCAUAAUCAUUAGUUUUUUAAUUGGAAACUUGUAUGAAUGGUUGAACAAGAAAAAUUCUGUCUUUGUUAUAUAGGUUGAAUUUAACUUUUAAGUGAAAAGGCUUAAAUUUUUCAGGGGGACGAUAAGACCCUAAAAACUUUAUAAAUUAUUUAUAUUUAAUUAAAUUAUUGUUUAUAAUUAUUUAAUUUAAAUAUUAUAUUUUGUUGGGGCGACAUAGGUAUAAAUUAAUAUAACUGCUUAUAAUUAAAACACUUAUAUUUGACAGGUAAAUGAUCCUUUUUAAAGAUUUAAAGUUUAAGUUACUUUAGGGAUAACAGCGUUAUUUUUUUUGAGAGUUCAUAUCGAAAAAAAAGUUUGCGACCUCGAUGUUGAAUUAAAUAUCUUUUUAGCGCAGCCGUUAAAAGAAGAGGGUCUGUUC
rnacentral:rRNA from 1 species